ACUUAAGCGCUAAUAUUAGCCAAAUAAAGUGUUAUAAAGCCGCCUUCAUUGGCGGCUUUUUUGUAUCGUUAACACAU
rnacentral:tRNA from 1 species